rnacentral:misc_RNA from 1 species
GGGCAUGCUGUUACAGUGUAAGGACUCUGUCAUAGCAAUAUACUAGAAUAAAAAAUAUGUAAUUAUUUAUUGUAUUUAUGCACAUAAUUACUGGAAAGAGUUUCCAACUAAGGGAACAUCUUUUCCUGAGAAACUGGUAAUCAACUUUCUGGAAACUUUAUUCUCCCCUUGGAUGCCAAGAUGACGAAUAAGAAAUGGAAAAGUUAAAAUUGGCAUCUCAUAAUCAUAUUUAGAAUUGCAAGUUGACCAGCACAUAACCAAAGCUAUAAUACAUAUGUAAACAUGCUAACAUAUUUGAGAUUAAAUUUUAAGGAUUUUU